GUGAACGCUGGCGGUAGGCCUGACCCAUGCAAGUCGCACGGCAGCACAGUAAGAGCUUGCUCUUCCGGGUGGCGAGUGGCGGACGGGUGAGGAAUACAUCGGAAUCUACUUUUUCGUGGGGGAUAACGUAGGGAAACUUACGCUAAUACCGCAUACGACCUACGGGUGAAAGCAGGGGAUCUUCGGACCUUGCGCGAUUGAAUGAGCCGAUGUCGGAUUAGCUAGUUGGCGGGGUAAAGGCCCACCAAGGCGACGAUCCGUAGCUGGUCUGAGAGGAUGAUCAGCCACACUGGAACUGAGACACGGUCCAGACUCCUACGGGAGGCAGCAGUGGGGAAUAUUGGACAAUGGGCGCAAGCCUGAUCCAGCCAUACCGCGUGGGUGAAGAAGGCCUUCGGGUUGUAAAGCCCUUUUGUUGGGAAAGAAAAGCAGCAGGUUAAUACCCCGCUGUUCUGACGGUACCCAAAGAAUAAGCACCGGCUAACUUCGUG
rnacentral:rRNA from 1 species